rnacentral:rRNA from 1 species
GACGAACGCUGGCGGCGUGCUUAACACAUGCAAGUCGAACGGAAAGGCCCUGCUUUUGUGGGGUGCUCGAGUGGCGAACGGGUGAGUAACACGUGAGUAACCUGCCCUUGACUUUGGGAUAACUUCAGGAAACUGGGGCUAAUACCGGAUAGGAGCUCCUGCUGCAUGGUGGGGUUUGGAAAGUUUCGGCGGUUGGGGAUGGACUCGCGGCUUAUCAGCUUGUUGGUGGGGUAGUGGCUUACCAAGGCUUUGACGGGUAGCCGGCCUGAGAGGGUGACCGGCCACAUUGGGACUGAGAUACGGCCCAGACUCCUACGGGAGGCAGCAGUGGGGAAUAUUGCACAAUGGGCGGAAGCCUGAUGCAGCAACGCCGCGUGCGGGAUGACGGCCUUCGGGUUGUAAACCGCUUUCGCCUGUGACGAAGCGUGAGUGACGGUAAUGGGUAAAGAAGCGCCGGCUAACUACGUG